CGGCAGUCGUGGUGAUGGACUAUGCAGAAUCGUUGACGAGAGUUUGAUCCUGGCUCAGAAUCAACGCUGGCGGCGUGCCUAACACAUGCAAGUCGAACGCGAAAGGGGCUUCGGCCCUGAGUAGAGUGGCGAACGGGUGAGUAACGCGUGGGUGACCUACCUUCGAGUGGGGGAUAACGUUCCGAAAGGAGCGCUAAUACCGCAUGAAGUUCCGGGUUUGAACAUCUGGAAACCAAAGCCGGGGAUCGCAAGACCUGGCGCUUGGAGAGGGGCCCGCGUCUGAUUAGCUAGUUGGCGGGGUAAUGGCCCACCAAGGCGACGAUCAGUAGCCGGCCUGAGAGGGCGGACGGCCACACUGGGACUGAGACACGGCCCAGACUCCUACGGGAGGCAGCAGUGGGGAAUUGUUCGCAAUGGGCGCAAGCCUGACGACGCAACGCCGCGUGGGGGAUGAAGGUCUUCGGAUUGUAAACCCCUGUCGAGCGGGACGAAUGACUCACGACCUAACACGUCGUGGGAAUGACGGUACCGCUAAAGGAAGCCACGGCUAACUCUGUGCCAGCAGCCGCGGUAAUACAGAGGUGGCAAGCGUUGUUCGGAAUUACUGGGCGUAAAGGGCGCGUAGGCGGCCUUCUAAGUCAGACGUGAAAUCCCCCGGCUUAACCUGGGAACUGCGUCUGAUACUGGAAGGCUUGAAUGCGGGAGAGGGAUGUAGAAUUCCAGGUGUAGCGGUGAAAUGCGUAGAUAUCUGGAGGAAUACCGGUGGCGAAGGCGGCAUCCUGGACCGACAUUGACGCUGAGGCGCGAAAGCUAGGGUAGCAAACGGGAUUAGAUACCCCGGUAGUCCUAGCCCUAAACGAUGAGUGCUUGGUGUGGCGGGUAUCGAUCCCUGCCGUGCC
rnacentral:rRNA from 1 species